GUUAUGUGGGUUCUAGUGUUAUGGACUCUCGCACUUUCUUGCUAUUCUGGUUUGCAAAUACUGCUGUCUUUGUGCUAACAAUUCUACGGAUGAUGAGAGUUGGGGUCCCAAGAGACCGUGCGGCUUUGUUGACACGAUCGGUGAUGCUGUUGUUUUCUUGCUACACGUUUUCAAUGUCGGUCAUAUCACCAACUAAAGCAUGGUCCAAUUUUAAUCUGAUUUUGUUUUUAGCAGUUGUACUGCCAUUUUUUUUGGUUCGAUUGCUCAGGUGCUUUCUUCGUGGUCGCGGACAUAUGGGCCUUAACAGUGGAUGGAGGAGACGACGCGUGCAUAUACACAUAAGAGAAGAAUGGUGGUAAUAGAUAUAGUAUCAUACUGAAGCAUGGAUUAAUUCUAUGUUCAUUAUCGUUGACAAUCACCUAUUGUUAUCUGUGGUGGCAGACAAAGCAAACAAGAUCACAUUUUCUAGAAAACUGUAGCAGUUGCUUUCUUUUGAUGCAUACUGAUGGAUUAAAGAUUAAAGAUAGAUGCUUUACCCUUUUUCCAUGGAGGCUUUGCCUGCUCUUUAAGGGGAAGCUGUGGCCUUUAAUACUGCCAUAAGCUUCAUUACUACUAAAGGAAUAUAAAGUAAGUUUACCGCAGUGGCUACAUUGAUAAUAGCCUUAGUAGCAUUUUAAAG
rnacentral:misc_RNA from 1 species